rnacentral:rRNA from 1 species
UACGUAGGUGGCGAGCGUUGUCCGGAUUUACUGGGCGUAAAGAGCGCGCAGGCGGCUGGUCAAGUCCGAUGUGAAAGCUCCCGGCUUAACUGGGAAAUUGCAUCGGAAACUGAUCGGCUGGAAGGUGGGAGAGGGUAGCGGAAUUCCCGGUGUAGAGGUGAAAUUCGUAGAUAUCGGGAGGAACACCGGUGGCGAAGGCGGCGACCUGGGUGGAUACUGACGCUGAGGUGCGAAAGCGUGGGGAGCAAACAGG